rnacentral:rRNA from 1 species
AGCGAACGCUGGCGGCAGGCCUGACACAUGCAAGUCGAACGGAUCCUUCGGGAUUAGUGGCGGACGGGUGAGUAACACGUGGGAACGUGCCCUUUGGUUCGGAACAACUCAGGGAAACUUGAGCUAAUACCGGAUGUGCCCUUCGGGGGAAAGAUUUAUCGCCAUUGGAGCGGCCCGCGUCUGAUUAGCUAGUUGGUGAGGUAACGGCCCACCAAGGCGACGAUCAGUAGCUGGUCUGAGAGGAUGAUCAGCCACACUGGGACUGAGACACGGCCCAGACUCCUACGGGAGGCAGCAGUGGGGAAUCUUGCGCAAUGGGCGAAAGCCUGACGCAGCCAUGCCGCGUGAAUGAUGAAGGUCUUAGGAUUGUAAAAUUCUUUCAGCGGGGACGAUAAUGACGGUACCCGCAGAAGAAGCUCCGGCUAACUUCGUG